rnacentral:pre_miRNA from 1 species
AAACAGCCCCCUUAUGUAUUGGAUCUUUGACAGCUUUGGCCCCCAAGACCACUUUUGACUUAGUCUUUGCUGAUGUGGCACCCACAAUGGUCGACAUGUGGCACCUCACUUAAGGGAUGUGGGUGCCAAGUCAGCGAAGACUAAGUCUAAAGUGGCAUUGGGGGCCAAAACUGCCAAAGAUCCAAUACAUAGAGGGUUGUUU